ACAUUUAAAUGGUCGUGGACGUUGAAAUGAUUCUACGAUUCUACGCUUUACAUAUGUCCAGGAAUUGUCGUAGAUUGUAUGCAAAGUGAGCAUCAGGCGGAUUAUUUCUGUAAAUCCAAUCACAUUACGAUAAAAGAAUCCGAUAAGCUGUAUUAUCUGUAAACGCAAGUAGCCAGAAACUGCUUGAUGAUAUAUAUGAUCAUCAGGCUUAACUAUGUGCUUAUCUUCUUUCUAAAUUCCAUGCGAUUUAUUAAUAUACCUGUAAAUGGAUGUCUACUAUCCGGGCACCCAAUACUUGUUAGAUACCACCAUUCAACCCAAAUAACAGUAUCUAUAUAACCCUUCCAACGCAAUCUGUAUUUUUUAUUGGCACGCCUAUAGUAACCAGUGUACAAUCGGUAUCGUAGCAGAAACCACAAUACAAAUAUUUUGUUCAGUGUCGCAUCCUAACAAAUUACUUUUCAAAUGUCUUCCAAGGAAAUUUAUAUGCAGUCGAUUUCUCAAGAAGACCAACUACUCAAUCAUGUCCUGCAUCUACCAACCCAUCCUCUCAUCGUGUUGGAUGACGAAUUGGGAGCAUUUUAUAUUAAAAGAUCCGGACCGACAACGAGGUACGCGUCUGAUGCCGAGGACCACCAAAUGUUUUCCUACAGUGAACAAGUAGUUGCGAACCUUGACAUCGCACGAGCUAUCACGAUGAUGUUUACGGACAACAAAGGCAUCGAGUUUGUCACGGCGACCUAUGAUUUGUCGGGCAGCAAUAUUCGGAGUGGGAGCACUUCACUGGGCGUGUUCGCUUCAAGGUAUCGCCACACGCCUCUGCCAUACACCGCAUUGGGAAGAAAUUGGGCUUUUUGCGGUGCGCAGACUCUUACCGUGAAUAUCACGGGAGGUGGAACUGUGACAAUGAAAAAGGUUAAAGUUUCUUGCUGGGGAUGCUGUUUUUUUGCCUGUUGUUGCAGAGGGUCUUACGAGAUAUUAGUUAAUGGGGAGAAGGUCGGGUCAUGGGGUCGUGAUGGGGAAGGGGAUGCACCUCUCGUCACGUUCUCGCCAACGUUAGACCCCAGAUUGAAAGGAAUCAUUAUCGUGCUAUCGUUCAUUUUGUUCAAUAUCCACUAUUAAAAAUGUCGGCGAUCUGGCAGCCCAUCUAUUGAAUUACAUAUUAUUUAAUUACUGUAAUUAAACAUACGAAUAGGAAAAUGUCAACAUCUGCGGAUUUCACAUCAGGAUUAUCUAAAAAAUAUAUUCUGGAAGGCAGUGGUCAUGGAGUUGAUAUCGAUAUGGAACGCUGUAAUAUUGGGAUGCUGUUUCCUCACACUCGCAUGUGGCAAGGGAUUCACAGCACACAGACCCGAAUAAAUUUUUGCAUUGGUCAGUAAAUGGAAGGCAAUUCUCAUGCAACUCUGUUAAAUAUUGAACACAAUUUGGGGGGUUUGGGUUUUAAAAGUAGUAGAAUCGUAGUUUGCGAACCACAGGCUGUGGUUCAAGCAUUAAUCCGUCAGAUACAUAAUCACAAGACUUAGUUAUAACA